rnacentral:lncRNA from 1 species
AUGCAACCCUUCUCUCCUGUCCGAGGGUGACCCUUCCUAUUUUCUUCUUUAUCACACAUUCUCUCAACUCCUCAUGUACCCUAAAACUUAAAGUAUAAUAAAAAAAAGGAAAAAAAAAACAAUAUUAAUUUUGUACAUCUCCAUUAGCGCCUUUGGGUGACUAGGUGCAUUGUCAAUGAGCAGUAAUAUUUGGAAAGGAAUCAAUUUUUUCUUUUGAGCAGUAGGUCUCAACAGUGGGCUUAAAAUAUUAAGUAGACCAUGCUGUAAACAGAUGUCCUGCCAUGCAGGCUUUGUUGUUCCAUUUAUACAGCACAGUCAGAGUACAUUUAGCAUAAUUCUUAAGGGCUGUAGGAUUUGCAGAAUAGUAAAUGAGCCUUGGCUUCACCUUAAGGAAACCAGCUGCAUUAAUCCCUAAUGAGAAUCAGCCUGUCCGACUUUCUCUCUAGCUAUGAAAGUCUUAGCUGGGAUCUUCUUCCUAUAUAGGCUGUUUCUUCUGCAUUGAAUAUCUCCAUGUUAUCAAUAAGGUUGUUUCACUUUCUCAUUGUUUGUGUGUUCACCAGAGUAGUACUUUUAGUUUCCUCCAAGAACUUUUCCUUUGCAUUCAUAACUUGGCUGUUUGGUGCAAGAGGCAUAG